GGAGUUAGGAAAUGUAGGUGCGAUAAUACCGUGCCUAUUUGACAAAGGCUCCAAAGGAAGCCACGGCUAACUCUGUGCCAGCAGCCGCGGUAAUACAGAGGUGGCAAGCGUUGUUCGGAAUUAUUGGGCGUAAAGAGCACGUAGGUGGAUUUGUUAGUCAGAUGUGAAAGCCUUUCGUUCAACGGAAGAAUUGCAUCUGAAACUACAAACCUUGAGGAUAGGAGGGGAGAGUGGAACUUCUGGU
rnacentral:rRNA from 1 species